GUCCCCUUCAGGGUGACACGUAAAAAUUGGAACAAUACAGAGAAGUGACUAGCAUGGCCCCUGCACACGGAUGGCGCGCUUCUCCAGAGUGGAAGACCUACGGGUCUCAAUAUUUAU
rnacentral:snRNA from 1 species